UAAUAUUCUAAGCAGUUCUGUUUUACUAUUGAUAUCGAGAAUAAUUGUAAAUUUUUUUUCCCAAAUGCUUUCAAAUUUAUAUCCAUAAACAGGCCAUAGAGAGCUAGAAUAGACAGAUUUUGAGAUAUUUAUCGUUAAAUGUAAAAUAGCUGACAUUUGCGGAAGCAUUGCAGAAUUUAUUGAUUGAGCGUUAAUAAUAUUUGUAGAAGACACUAUACAACUCGAUAAUUCUUCUACUAACGUUAACUUCCUAACAGGUAUUUUUAAUUCACUCAAAACUCUGAUCAAUUGAAACAGGUUUACAUUAUCAUAUGCACCCUCAACAUCCAGAAAUACACAUAUUGCAUUAGAGUGAGCAAAGAUAGAAUUUUUGAUGUCAGCAAUGAAUGAAACGAAGCCUUCAACUGCACUUUUACCUUUUCUGAAACCUAGUUGAUAAUCAGGUGGACAAUAUACACAUAGAAUAGUUAGAGGACCGACUUUUGUAUCAACAGAAAUAGCAAUCGUUUGAACAUCUUGGAAAUUUGGAGUUGAAAGUUGGACAUAUUUUAUAGAACUUUUAAUUAAAAAGGCUACACCACCAUGUUUAUUUUCAGCAUUUUUAAAAAUAAAAUCAUACCCAGGCAUGUGAAAGUGUGACUGGGAACUUUUUAACCAUGUUUCAUUUAAUAAACAUAUAUCUAUUUCAUUAUCAAAUAAAAGUGUUUGUAACAAAGGUUUUUUAUUAUUAAUACUUUGUAUAUUAUGUUGUACUAGUUUUAAACUAUCCAUUAUUCAGAUAAGUUUUUAAUAAAAAUUUCCUUAAUAUGAGAUGUGGUCUUAAUUGAUUCAGAAUUUCCUAAUGCUACUAAUGUUUUUACUAUCGAAUUCAUGACUUUUGUAUUAUUUACAAUAUCUGAGAUAUUAAAGUUAUCUGUUUUUGUUGGUACAUGAGCUAAUUCUAUAUUUUUAUUACUGUCAACUUUUCCUGUGUAUUUCUGUAUGCUACUCUUAGGAAGAGCUGGAAAGUUUACAAAAUCUUUAUUUAUAGUAGCCAUUGCAUAAGAUUGCCUAUGUUUUAAUAUUCUAGCUGCUUUUAUUGGACAAUCUUUUGAAAUAGCUAGAUGAUUUCCAGAGCAAUUAGUACACUUUAACGUUUCAGAAAUACAAUCUUUAUAUGAAUGAUUUUCAGAGCAUUUAGAACAAA
rnacentral:misc_RNA from 1 species